GGACCAUGUGGUAUAUUCUAUCAGUACAGUAAAUACCUCACAAAAACUGUGUCAACAUGUCGUCUGUCAAAUGCCUCUAAAUAAAAUUAUUAACUUAUUGUGUUUUUUAAAAAAUGGAAGAAACUAGUGAAUUUUUAUUUUGUUUUGAUUUACCUUAAAAAGGAUUUGGCAGAGAUUUGUUAUUUCUGUAAUAGUCAGUAGCUGGACUGAUAUUCUUCAAAUUUUCCAGAAACUCAUAACUGUCAAUGUGGUCGCUUCUAUCAAUCGAAGAAAGCACUUGCAUUCCACAUGAAGCACCAGUGUGGCAAACAACCAAAAUAUACCUGCAAUUGCGGAAAACAGUUUCAUUUCAAGGGAAAUUUGAAAGCUCAUUUAGUGAGACAAUCUUGUCAUUGGAAAGUGAAAAGAGAUCAAUAGAGCUAUAGUUAUGAAAUUGAUAUUAUUUAAUGUUUGUUUCGUUGAAAGUAAAUGGAUUCAUUUCA